rnacentral:rRNA from 1 species
GGCUUAGAGUUUGAUCAUGGCUCAGGAUGAACGCUGGCGGCGUGCCUAACACAUGCAAGUCGAACGAAGCGCUUUACUUUGAUUUCUUCGGGAUGAAGAGUUUUGUGACUGAGUGGCGGACGGGUGAGUAACGCGUGGGUAACCUGCCUCAUACAGGGGGAUAACAGUUAGAAAUGACUGCUAAUACCGCAUAAGACCACAGCUUCGCAUGGAGCAGUGGUAAAAACUCCGGUGGUAUGAGAUGGACCCGCGUCUGAUUAGCUAGUUGGUAAGGUAAGGGCUUACCAAGGCGACGAUCAGUAGCCGGCCUGAGAGGGUGGACGGCCACAUUGGGACUGAGACACGGCCCAAACUCCUACGGGAGGCAGCAGUGGGGAAUAUUGCACAAUGGGGGAAACCCUGAUGCAGCGACGCCGCGUGAGCGAAGAAGUAUUUCGGUAUGUAAAGCUCUAUCAGCAGGGAAGAAACUGACGGUACCUGACUAAGAAGCACCGGCUAAAUACGUGCCAGCAGCCGCGGUAAUACGUAUGGUGCAAGCGUUAUCCGGAUUUACUGGGUGUAAAGGGAGCGUAGACGGAUAGGCAAGUCUGGAGUGAAAACCCGGGGCUCAACCCCGGGACUGCUUUGGAAACUGUUUAUCUAGAGUGCUGGAGAGGUAAGUG